UCAAUCAAGGGGAUGUCCUAGAGGCGUGGCUUAUAAAAGAAGGAUUGCCCAGUGGAGAUGUAUUAAUGUUAAAAGGCUUGGCUAAUGUGAAUACAUUAAACAAAUAUUUUGAAUUGAGAGGCAUGGUUUAUGAAAACAAGAUUGAUGUAAAUGGAAAAUGUAUGAGGAACUCAGUGUAGGUUUGAAGAGGCGUGGCUUAUGAAAUGAUGAACGGAGAGUGUUGCAACUGAAACAGUAAGGUCGCAUGAUAUUUUGCAAUGUUUGAUUCAUAUAUUUUAUUGCAAGUUGGCCACAAUAUUGAUGUAAAAUAUUAGUCCAGGUACGUAGAGGGAUACAAUGCGAGUGAAAAUUUCCUGAAAUCAUUACAAUACAUGUACUUCUAAACGUUGCAAAAUAUGAAUUUGAACUCCUCCUGAAUAUGCUACUUAUUUAAAUUUUCAAGUUUUAGAGCUUAUGUUGUCCCACUCUCUAGUAUGAAGCAUGUGUCCUAAUAACAAAAGUUUUGGAUAUAAGCAGGUUUCUCAGCACUUGUUGGACAACUUUUAAACUCCACAUCAAGUGACCUCCAUAACUUUUAUUUCCUUCUUAACAAAAUAAUUCUACCUAAGGUGGUUUAGUGGAAACUAAGUUUGUGUAUAAGCUGGUUUCUUAGCAAGUGCAGAACUUAACACUCCUUGGCUGCAGUUAAAGGGGCUGCCACAAGUAAAUAUAGAAGAGACUGUAAAGGACUGCUGAGGCAAACUUGCUCUAUAAAACCCUUUAAUGUGUCUAUCAUAAAUCUGGAACAGCUUAGGCUCAGAAUAAAUUUAAUAAAUUUAAAUAAUAUUAAAAUAAUAAAUAAUUUGAGUGUUGUUAUAUUUUCAGGUCCUUUCAGAUAGUGGAUUCCAUUAAAUGUUAAUGGAUAUUAGAGUACUGUUGGGGUUGAGUGGGGUUGCAUAUUACAUUACCUAUCAGUCAAAUUACGUCUGUUUUCAUCAAGGUAUGAAGUUUGACAUCUAGACUUAGCAUUUGGCUACCUUGUACAUGUGAGAACUAGCUCCUGCUAUCUUUCACUACUUUGGAUUUGCUGUUGAUCAAAUACAAGGGAGGACGUCACAUUGUCAUCAUGGCAGGAGGAAAUUUCAUCCUGAAAGCGGUACUCCUUUUAGUUGUAGUUGCUGUGAUAAAAGCAAAACCACCGUGGGCGGAACAGAAAAGCAACUGUAAAAAAAAUUUUCCUGAU